rnacentral:lncRNA from 1 species
AGAAAGGGUUUAUUAAAAGGAAAUUAAUAAUCAGGUGGAUUGCAUCAUGAGGGAGGAAAUUGUCCCAAAAAGCAGAGAGUAAUUUCAGGAGUGCCAUGCUUUGUUCUCUCUGGGCCUUAUAGCAAAAGCAGUACUCAGUUCCCUUUUGUGUCUUGUCUAAUGUCUGGUGCACCAAUCUGUUCUCGUGUUCAAUUCAUGUAUGUUUGUGUCCAGUCUGUAUGAAUGAAUGUUCUAUGUUUUAUGUUGGAUAAUAAAGAUGGUAUAAAAAACUUUAUCUACAAAGCCGAGAGCUGCCAAGUGCUUCAGCCAGGAAUCAGACACAUGGCAGGAGGGCCCCUGCUGGAAAAACUGUUCCGUUUUAGGAGAAAAGGGCGAGUGUAUAGUCUCUUAGUUUCGGAGUAAAAAAGCUGAUAAAUGGUUUGUGACUAAUGUGUUUGACAAAUGGUAAAGUUCCUUUUAUUCUAUGAUUGUAGCUACAAAAAUUAAUAUUCUCUGAUUGGUCUAAAUGUAACUGCUUCAUUUGGUUCUUUUUUUAUUGAUAAUGUGCUCUGUAUGUUUUCACAUUCAGCUCAUAAGUUGUUGGUAAAGAUUAAUAAUUGUUACAUUGCUACAGAUGUUUAGUGUUAAAUUUAAUAACUCAAGUUUAGAGUCCUUCCAACACGUGGCAUAAGGCAGGCCAAGAGGCUGGGUCUCUAAAGAUAUUUCUAGUUUAGAUAAUAAUUAAUGUGGUUCCUAUCCUAAAUAGUAAAAUUUAAGAUAAGAUUUAAAGCAAUGCCUCUUUAUUAAAGCGUUAAAACUUGCUUUAAUAGGUAUUCAUAGGUAUUAAUUGGCAUCCAAACUUCAUAAUAUGAUAGUAAUGCUUCUAAUAUUAAUUUUAAAGAUGAUAAAUUGUUUUAAACUUGGGUUUUGCUUUCCCAAGGUUUUAGGUAUUAUCCUAACCUUGCACAAGAAACUUAAAAAUUAUGGUUAAAACUGCCAUUGUUCCAUUGACUGCAGCUUGCAGUUUGAUUGCAAAUUUAAGAUUUUCUACUCACCCAUAUAUUGUUAAUUAAGAUAAUUAUAAGAGUAAUCAUCUUUUGAAAGCGCUAAUACAGCUCACUUCAUACAAAACUGUGACAAAGUUAUCUAGUUAUGUUUGUCUUUGUGAAUAGAUUAGACCCUCAAACAAUCAGUUUGGCUAUAGUCGCUGCCUGGCAGGAAACUGAGGUACGGGCAAUUUUUUCACAACACUGAAGUUGUAAAGAACGUUUUAACUGUAAGUCGUCUUAAGAUAGAAUAUCAAAAGUUAGAGGCAUAGACAGUUAUAUUGUUCCUCCAGAAUCAGUCCUAUUACAGGAGGGCCAAGAUGCUCAGAUUAAAAAAUAUUUUAUGUUUGAGUCAAUGCAGGGUUCUGGGCAGCCCCAGAGCAGCUUGUGGCCUUUCUUUGUUUUGCAAACAGUGCCUGAGAAAGUUUUUCCCUGUGUUCAAGAAAAUUUCUUUUUAACAGUGUUACAGAUCUAUUCAGAUGUUUAAUAAUGCUUAAAUUCAAAGAGUUUUGCUUCUAGUGAACUGUAAUCACUAGAAAAUUUUGCCUCUAGGUAUGGCUAAUAUAACUUUACAUUAUAUAAGAAAAUUUUUUAUUGUUUCUGCUUCUAUACAAGAAGCCAAGAGUUUUAAUCUUUCAGUGUAUAUUGUUUCCUAAGUGGAAAGUAUUUUAUUAACUAAUGCUUCUCAAAGGAAGCUGUUUUCCUGCUACUCUCUGAGCCAGCUCCCCCACUGGAGGCUGGAGACUAGCCUUAGCUUUACAAUUUGCAACUGAAUAAAGUACCUAGACUUCC